rnacentral:rRNA from 1 species
UUCGGUGACCAUGGCGAGAGGGAAACACCCAGCUCCAUUCCGAACCUGGAAGUUAAGCUUCUCAGCGCCGAUGGUACUGCAUGGGAGACUGUGUGGGAGAGUAGGACGUCGCCGGAC